GAGCUGUCGCCUCCGCUCGCACCGCGGACCCAGGCGUGAGACCCAGGCCGUUGGGGAAGUGCCCUGCAGAGCACACUUUCCGUUCUGGAAGCGAGGAGCCUUAGCCGCGGGGAUCUGCUCUGUAGUGAGUGGUAGCUGAGAUCAGAGUUAGCGAGGAACUUCCUGAGUUCUUGGCUGAAAAGCCUAUUAACUCGGGGAGUCUGGCCACCACCUUGAACGGCAGGUGCCAGCUUCGGCCGGUUCUACAGCUUUACUGCUGCAAAAGCCCCACAGAAAGUUAACUGCUUUAGUCAACGUGGUUUUGAGAACCAGCUCUGCCACCAUCACUUCAGAUAAAUUACCAAAAAGGGGCGUGGGGAUGUGUAGAGUCCUCUCUAUGUAGACAUGAUAAAUGAAUACAAGAAUGGUUACUAAUUUUUGAGUCCUUUACAUUCAAUAAUGCCUGAUAUGUAGGACUCUGGUAUGAGGUACAAAGGAACUUGUUGGCAAACACAAAGUGUCUUCUCUUCUUUCUUUCUUUCUUUCUUUCUUCUUCUUCUUCUUCUUUUUCUUCUUCUUCUUCUUCUUCUUCUUCUUCUUCUUCUUUCUUCUUCUUUCCUCCUCCUCCUCUUCUUCCUCUUUUCUUCUUCUUCUUGUUCCUAAUGGGGAUAGAACCCAGGGUCUUGUGCAUACUGGUACUAGCAUGCCUACUAUGUUAAGCUACAGUCCCAGCCUGUAAAAUAACUUUUAAAUGGAGACUGCUGUUAGCUGAAUCACUGUGCUGCUGAAAAAUGUCACAUUUCAGUACUUGGGACACCACCGAAUAACCAGACAAGAUUUGAAAUCUGGAAACAUCAACUAGAGAUGAAUUUUGGAGAACUCUUUCCCAGCUUUAUCAAAAAACUUAGGACAAGCCGGUCAUGGUUGCACACAUCUUCAGUCCCAGCACUCAGGAGGCAGAAGCAGGCAGACCUUUGAGUUCCCAGACAGCUAGGCUACACAGAGAAACCCUGCCUUGAAAACAAAACUAAACAAAAAAAAGCUUAGGACAACUGUAAAGGACGAGACCAUGUUAAAGAAAUGUUAAUACUAAUUGUCUUAAUCUUAAUAUUAUUAAAAGUCAGACAGUUUAUGUAUUGAAAAAUGGGUUUCUAUGUAAGAUGUUUUCUAUGUAGAAAAUUAACCUUCUACGUGGGAAGAAUAUUUCUCAGAAAAAUGUUAAGUUUCUAUAUAGAAGGAAUAUAUCUCAGCUGAGUGUGGUGGCACAGGCCUGGAAUUGCAGUACUUGAAAGGCCAAGACAGAAGGAUCUCAAAUUCAAGACCAACCGAGGUUUCAGAGCGAACUGAAUGUCAGCCUGGAAUACAAAGUGAGAGCUGUUGGUUGAAAUACAGAAGAAGAAAAGUAUUUGUGAACAUUUCUCUGAUUAGGCUAGAAUACCAGAACCAGGUAGCAGCAUUUUAAUUUGAAAUCCACAAAUGAAGUGGAAAUUUCUAGUUUCUUUGGAGACUCAGUUGUGUCAUGUGAUGUUUUUCUGGAAACAUCUCAUGAGCGAUUGUUUUGCUAAGAUGAGACGCUUGGUGGUUUUCUGAAAGCUGCCCGUAAAGGGGACAUGUGAUGUUUUGCUGGGGCAGGUGCUUAAGAGGGCAUGUGAUGUCAGGGAAGGGGAUAAGUAUAACCCAACAGGCAGUGGGCACUGUUGUGCGUUGGUUCACCUUGCCUUCUUCACUGAUCAUGGUUUGUCAUGACUUUGUAGAGACAAACACACCACAAAACUUUUCUUGAUAUUCAGGUGGCUUCUUGCCACUUCUGCUGACUCGGACUGGCUGGCAAGGCUGGAGGUUUCUUCUGCAUGAACUGCCGUUGCUGAUUUGUGGGUGGUGGAUGCCAGUGGAUGGAGCUACUCUGCUGAUCUGUGUGACCUGAACUACUGAGACCCUGACUACAAAGACUGGAAUCGCCCCAAAGAACUAUUUCCAAACAGGUCCACAUCCCCCUAUGCCCUCUUAACCUUUCCUUCCCACGACCCCUGGUGGGUGGUGGGCUAGGAGGGAGGUUAAAGGGUUUAAGAACCCUCAUUAAAAGUAGGUUUUGAAAAAAAUCUAAGCCUACACAAACUACGUGAUUUAGAGGGGAAAUGCCAUAAGUUUAUUUCUACAGAAGUGCAGUCUAUUUUUAUCCUUAAUUGCUUUUAAUUAUAGUGAGUAGUGAUGAAGUAAAAUGAUUUGGGGACAUUAGAGAGUGGAUGUGGAACUUUCAGGCAAUUAUCUGUAUUAUCCUUGACUUUCAAUAUAAAGUUUAUUUCAAUGGCAUGAGAUUAAAGUGUGACCCUGAGAGGUCAGAGUUGUUGGUUUUGAAGCCCAGCUCCAGAACCUGGAGUGAACCUGGGCAGUGUUCAGCCCCUGUCUGUGUAAGUUUCAUCAUCUGUAAUACAGAUUUUUUUCCAACUGUGGGGGUUUUGCUCAUCAUUUUCCUUCUCGGUUCCUUCACAUUUCUCUAAUCUGGUGGUCACUGAAAGUUAGGGCCGACUUUCACUGUUAAAUUGAAGCAUAAUUUUUCAAGGUUUAGAACUUGAGAUGGGAAGAUGUUUUUCUCCCUUAACAUGUAAAAUAGUCCACUCUGCUCUUCUUUUUGCCCGGCUUCUGACCUCUUCUUCUAUAGUGAGUUUUCUCAUCACCAUGUAUGGUGUGUUUUUUACACCAUGGCUGUAUGUUUUGUUUUGUUUUGUUUUGUUUUGUUUUGUUUUGUUUUGUUUUUACAGAUACUCUUCAGCAACUUGAAGAAGUUGCCUUCUAGGUCUAGUUUGCUAAAAGUUAGAUUUUGUCAAAUGCUUUUACUAUAUCAUGAUAAUGUGACUUUUCUUCUUUAGCCUAUUCAUGUGAUAAACUAUAUACAUUGAUUAUAAAAUGUUGAACCAAAGGAUA
rnacentral:lncRNA from 1 species